UAAAGAAUAUUAGUGUUGAGUUUGGCUUUGGUUUUCAAAACAAUUCAGAGCGAGGUGCAAGGUAGGGCCCUCUCCCUUCUCUGACGUGAAGAAGUGGCAUCUGGCAUCAAGCUAGAACAAUACACAAGUCUACAACUUCUCUUCUCCUGAGGUGACCUGAGAAACGGACAAUCUAGAAUAGCUGAUCAAGCCUAUCCAUCAGCUCUUCAUAAGCCUACACAUACUGACGCAGCUACCCACCUGAA